AAACAGGCACUAUUUAUUUUAUCAUACUGAAUGUCAUAAUUUCAGAGAAAAUUUUACUGCUUUUAUACAGAAAAGACCUGAAUUCAACGGCAAAUCAUACGAGCAUAAUUUAAACGCAUGUAGCAAUUCGUUGUGUUACCCGUUGCCAAGUGAUUUGCUAACGUUGAGGGUAAUAGAACAGAUUACCAACUGCGUCUAAACCAAUCAGAUUUCAGUAUUUAACAUGAAAGUAUGAUAAAAUGUUUUGUUACCCCUGUCACGUGACAGUCUAGACCAAUCAGAUGGCACAUUUGUAUAGAAUUAUUAUAAUGAGGUACAAUAAUAUUAUUUGUUCGUGUGAAUGUACAAUUAAUAUGUUCCUCAAAAUGCAAUCUCAUCAAUGAUUUGAUUUGAAUAAUUCUUGUCUUUUCAACAGUAUCUAACCUGAUUUUGUCAUGUUUGAUUCCAAAAAUGAAUAAAUUUUAAAAAAAAUGACUCAGGAAAAAAAAUGUCAAGAAAUACAUUUUGACCACAACCAUGUAAUGACAAAUACAACAUGAACCCAUUAUCAUUAUGAACAUGAACCUAGUUGUAAAGAAUUUAUUUUAUGAUUAAAAUUGUAAAACAUCAG
rnacentral:sRNA from 1 species